UCCUCAUCCAUCAUCUGCUUGUCUGUCAAAUCAUUUAAAUUUUGAGAUGAUGAAUCAUAAACGCCAUGGGCAGGGUGACUUUUCAAUAUAGAUACUUGAGGAAUGGAAGAAGAUUGACUGUGCUGCCUGUUCUGAGUAGUAUGCUCCGCAGGUGCAUUCAAGACAGUUUGAUUGCCAAUAUGAGAAACUUUGGUGGUCACUCCAGGAACUUCAAUUUCUUCUGCUGCUUCUCUUUUAGACAACGGUAUGUAUGAUGCAGCAUAAGGGUUCAAUGUCGAUACUCCUGGCUUCAUUGCUUUAAUAAGGAAAUCAGAUCACAGGCGCAAGAAUGGAUGAUAGAGGCCAAAUGGGGGAUUUCUCGGAAGAAAUGAAACCCUAAAUUCCUUUAUACUUUCCCUUUUAGAGA
rnacentral:misc_RNA from 1 species